rnacentral:rRNA from 1 species
CCCUUAGAUGUUCUGGGCUGCACGCGCGCUACACUGACACUGUCAACGAGUGCUCCUGGUUUGAAAGGAUCGGGUAAUCUUUUGAAAUGGUGUCGUGAUGGGGAUAGAUCAUUGCAAUUAUUGAUCUUGAACGAGGAAUUCCUAGUAAAUGUGAGUCAUCAGCUCACGUUGAUUACGUCCCUGCCCUUUGUACACACCGCCCGUCGCUCCUACCGAUUGAGUGAACCGAUGAGUAGUCCGGAUUGCGAUCGACCUCGGUUAAUCGCGAGAAGUUCCGCAAAUCACUUCACUUAGAGGAAGGAGAAGUCGUAACA